CGCUGGGCGGCGGCCUCCUGCACUCCGUGAAGUUGAAUGAGCGUAACAAUCAAAGUGGCCGCCGCCGCGGCUCCUCAGCAGCCCGGAGGCUCAGCGCCUAGACGAGUUCGGGGCAGAAUGAGGCCCGAGGUGGGAGGAGAACGGCGGGCCGAGGAUCGGGUCCUCCUCGCUCGAUUCGCCUCCUCCUGGGAUUGUGGUAGCCGGGUCCAAGGGAAGAGGACGGAGCGUUGGGACUGACCAUUUGGAGGAAGGUUGCCCGGGGAUCCUGACCUCUGGACUGGAGAUGGCACAGGAGCAGUUGAGUAUAAUCACCAUUGAAAAAUGGACUGAAGAAAAACUUAAGGAAAAAGAAAAAGAUGGGCUGAACAUGGAAGAAGUUCACCUGUCAAGCAAAAUUAUCUGCUUCUACUUUUUUGCACAAUGAUAAAUAAGAUUUCCCGUACUAAUAAAAAAUACAUAAAUGUUGAA